AGAGAUUAAAUGUCCAGCAAACGACGGCAAUGUUGCCAGAUUCCUUUUAGCGGGAAUUUUAAAAUUUUAUAGCAGUUUGGUUUUAAAUUUGACAGUUCUGUUUUCUCAAGUCAAAAAUCUUAACCUUACUUUUACAAGUGAUUAAGAUUAUUAUUAUUUUAUUUACACGUAAAUUGAAACAAUAAAUAUUGUGCUUUGUCAUAAUUUAAAACUCAUUAUGUUGAAGUCUUUUCCAGUUGAUAAAAUUGCAAUUCAAAAACUUUUAGGUAGAUUUGCACUGUAUGGAUGGCACAGGAAGAGGAGAGAGAACAAGAGUACAAGAACAUGAAACAUCUUAUUAUGAAUGUAUAUGUAUGUGAUCCUCAAAAAAUUAUUUUUCAAAACAAGAUAGAGAAAGAGCUUUAAAAUCCCAAGGAUCCUGCAAAAUGUUUAUUUGGUGUACUAGUCGAAUAAUAGUAUCUAAAAAUAUUGAAACUGUUUUAAAACACAUUAUAGGCAUGAGGAUGAUAUAGAGCACUUACAUAAAUACCAAAAUCAGAUAAAUAUCUCUUCAAAGUUUAUUUUGAGACUUUCUUCAAAAAUCAAACUUCAGACUGUUCAGGAUAGCAUAAUAGCAUAGGAGGCGAAUUAAAAAGAAUUAAUUUACUUACAAGAAAAGAUAUCACAAACAUUAAACUCUCUUAUGGCAUUGAUUUGAAAGAUGGGUAUAUGUACAAGGCUGAUGCAACCAGUGUUUAUUUUUGGGUUGAAUGCUUACAGACUCAUGUCCAAUAUUAUUUUACAAACAACAGGGCAUACUAAUGGAUAUUCAUUCUGAAUUUAACAUUUAUGAUUUUUGUCUUAUUUUCCUUAAUACUGUGCCAAAUGGAAAUGUUAAUUAAGUUUGGCAAAUCCUUUAUCGCAAUCGAUGGAACUCAUGGGCUCAAUUCCUAUGACUUUGAACUUAUGACAGUAUUAGUAAAAGAUGAAUUUGGGAAUGGAUUUUGUACUGCUUUCUUAUUUUCAAAAUAGAAAAGAUACCUACUUUAACUUACCAAUUUUUUUAAAUACAUGUCUGUGUUGGUAUUAUAUGUAUAGUCAAAUGUUUUCAUAUCAGGCAUAAGUGACACCUUUUACAAUGCCUCGUCAAAUGUAAUGGGUAUUGCUCCUAAUAGACUGUUAAGUGCCUGGCACAUAGAUAGGGCAUGGUAAGUAAAUCUUAAUAAAAUAUCUGAUUCUGAAAAAAAUCCUAUUAUAUAUACAAGAUGUAUUAAUGAUGGUUCAGAGAGUAUUAAUAGCUUUUUGGGUAGACUUCUAAGUGAUGCAGAUACAUACAAUUUCAAUAAGUAUUUCCAAUAGAACUACUGCAGUAACAUCCAACAAUGGGCCUAUUGUUAUAGGAAGGGGUUGUGGAAUUAAUACCAAUAUGACCAUUCAAAAUUUUCAUAAAAUUUUGGAUAAAAGGGUAUCCAUUAGUUGUUAUCAGUUAAGUUUAAAACUUGGCACUCAUGGAGAGCUAUACUCUAUACCAUAAUAUAUAAUAGGUAUAUCUCAUAAUAUUACAUCUCAUAUUGUUCACUCCAGUAGUAAUAAGUGAGCCUGCAUACACAGAACCAUAAUAAUAUAUUAUAGUUUGUGUAUGCAGGCUCACUCAUUACAAUAGUGAGCAAUAGAAGAUAUAACAUAUUAUAGUAUAAGUCUCUGUGCAUGACCAGAUUAACAUGUUUGGUGCCCAUCUCGAACAAGCUCCACUUGGCUGGUACCACAUACUUAAAUCAUUUAUUUAGUUACACAGUACUACUCACAUAACUUAUGUGUCGUCAGUACCUUCCAUAAAACCUUCGUGAUGCUACUCAUACUUCAUGGCCACUGAAUGUGUUAAAGCUUGUUAAUGUAGGAGAGUUAUACUAAAAUAUAUAUCUUAUAUUAUAUUGUCUUAAAUAGAAAAAAUAUCUUAUUUAAAUUGUAUCCAUGUAAGUUUUGAUUUAAUGAAAUAAACUUUUAAUCAAAAAAGUGU